AUUGAACGCUGGCGGCAGGCCUAACACAUGCAAGUCGCGCGAGCGGCGGACGGGUGAGUAAUGUAUGGGGAUCUGCCUGAUGGAGGGGGAUAACUACUGGAAACGGUAGCUAAUACCGCAUACCAUCGUAUGAACCCAGAGGGGAUUAGCUAGUAGGUGAGGUAACGGCUAACCUAGGCGACGAUCCCUAGCUGGUCUGAGAGGAUGAUCAGCCACACUGGGACUGAGACACGGCCCAGACUCCUAAGGGAGGCAGCAGUGGGGAAUAUUGCACAAUGGGCGCAAGCCUGAUGCAGCCAUGCCGCGUGUGUGAAGAAGGCCUUCGGGUUGUAAAGUACUUUCAGUCGGGAGGCGUUACCGACAGAAGAAGCACCGGCUAACUCCGUGACAGCAGCCGCGGUAAUUC
rnacentral:rRNA from 1 species